rnacentral:tRNA from 1 species
GCCUAGCUGGCUCAGUUGGGAGAGCGUGUGACUCUUGAUCUCAGGGUCAUGAGUUCAAGCCCCACACUGGGUG